CUUUUGGAGGACAGAGUUUUCCACCAUUCAUCUUUGCAUCCUGAAUACCAGUUUUAAAAACAUUCAAAAAGAAACUUUUUAAAAACUCAUAUAAUGUGGAGUUCCUUGUGGCACCCAAGGUGUUAACGUCUGCUGGAGUUGACUUGGCGCAGAAAACUGCUGACCCCGAGGAGUUGGAACACCCUGAUGACAAGGUGUUCUUCCAGCUCGGGCACAGGAGAGCCUUGCUGGUGAAACAAGGAGAAACAUCCGGGCACAAUUUGAUAAAGGUAACAGUUUGGCAUUGGUGUCCUCAUACCUUUCUAGUCUAAAAUAUGCCCCGGUGUUCAGCAGAACA
rnacentral:lncRNA from 1 species